UCUGCUGCUGGUGGGACUCAGCUCAGGCCCGGCCAAUACAGCCGCUCCUAGCUCCGCCCCUGACGAGGUUCUCAACUGCCCAGAGGGUUGGCAAUGUUUCUGAUGAAAAUCCACUGGGUACUCACUGGAUGAGAAAGUUACAAUGAAAUGUUGUUUCACUCAGACUCCCUGGAGACACAAAAUCUCUCCCACAACACUAGGUUACUGAGAGGAAGAAAGUAAAGGAGGGGGUGAGUUGGUGGCUCACAUCACAGAAUAACCAAAACUUGAGAUGGAUGGAGAUGGCAGCAAGAAAGGACUACAGAGCUAAGUAGCGUGAGUCUGGCCGACAGUGACAAGUGCACAAGGAGAUCCAGCUCUCUGCUAUGGCCUGGGAAAUCAGUACAAGAUGGCCCAAGUCAUUAGGCCCCUGCACCUGCGUGGGAGACCUGGAAGAAGCUCCUGGCUUCAGAUCGGCACAGCUCCGGCCAUUGGGGAGUAAACCAUCAAUGGAAGACCCCUCCCUCCCUCCCUCCCUCUCUCUCUCUCUCUCUCUGCCUCUCCUUCUCUCUCUAUGUUAUGCUAGCUUUCAAGUAAAUAAAUCAAUCUUAAAAAAAAAAUAAAAUAAAAACUGCCUCAGCGAGCUAAGUAGUCCCUUCCUCCUUGUGAGGAUGCAGUGAGAGGGUGCCAUCUUCGAGAAAGCAGGCUUUGCCAGACACCAAACCUGCCGGCAACUCAAUCUUGGGAGAAAUACAUGGCUGUCCUUUAUAAGCCAUUGCAGAAGCCUCAAAAGGCUAAUAUAUAUGGUUGUGGUCUAGCGGUUCCAGACUUGCAUCUAUCACCUACAUUUGCCCUUCUGGGAAGGCAGUGAGUGUGUGUAUGUGUGUGUGUGAUUGUGGGGGGGGGGGGUUACACACAUUUCCACCUCUCCCCAGUAGCAGCUUCCGAUUGGACUUCUCAUCGCCAAACAGGUUUUCCUGAAGAUCACGUUCUCACUGACAUUCCUGGGCGCUGCCUCCACUCCUCCAGCACACGAAAUUCAUGCUAAGGUCACCAGUGAUCUUCUUGGAGAGACUUUUUAGUCCUGUUUUUCUCAAUCCCAUGGUCACUCCCUCUUGUUGAAAAACCCUCUCUCUUCCUUUAGGUUUGGUGACUUCAUACUCUCCUUGUGUUCCUCCUGCUCUCUGGCCACUACUGGGUACCUUUCCCUGACUUCUGCUUCUCUUCUUUAUUUUAGGGUUUCUUAGAGCUCUAUCCUCUACUCUCUUCUUCUUUGCCUCUCUCUUCUAGGAAGUCUUCCUCAUCUCCAUGGCUUCACCUUACCAUUUUGAUUUUGACUCCCAAGUUUAAACUUCCUGCCAAAUGCCUACUGGCCAUUUUCACUUGAAUGUCUUAGUGAUCGCCUCAAGCUAUUCAUGUCCAAAUCCUCAGCCAGUAAUGUUCCCCUCCUGCUAUGGUUCCAAAGUAGCUCCAAAAGCUCAGGUGUUGAUAACUUAAUCCACAAAUUCAGAUGUUAAUGAUAUUUGAAGGUGAGGCCUUUGAGAGGUAAUUAGGAGUAGAUGAAGUCAAAAGGCUGGAGCCCCCACGAUGGCAUGCUUGCUCUGCCUGGCCACGUGACACUCCCCACAUGUUACAACAUAGCAAAAACAUCCUCACCAAAUGCCAAGUAGAUGCUGGCACCCUGCUCUUGGACUUCCCAGCCUCCUGAACUACGAGCCAGAUAAGCUUUCAUUAUUUAUAAACUACGCAGUCUCAGGUAUUUUGUUACAGCGAUAGGAAAUGAAUUAACAUAUUUGCUCAGAAAACGGUGGUUCUGCUGACCAGCUUGUUUAAAAUAAGAAUCUGGGAGGCACCCUCAGCACCUACCUCACUGUCACCUCUUGCAUCCUAUCAAUCAUCAAGAUUUUUCAUUCUGUGUCCUCUGUAUCUUUUGAAUCCUCUGCUUCUCUCCAUCCCAACUGCCACCAACCUGGCCAGAGCACACUUGUCAUCUGGCUUUUGCAAUGUCCUUCUAAUUGGUCCCCUCAUAUCAUCUCUCAUCCCCCCACUGAAUUCUUUUAUCUACUGCAGCCUAAGUAAUUCUUACAAAUAUAAAAAAACAUCUCGCCACUCUCCUUCCAUGGUCCCCAUUCUCCCCUCCUCUCCUCUUGGUCUAGCGCUUACUUCAUCUAUUCCCAUAAUAUUAGAUUUAUUUUAAUCCCUCAAAAUGAAAUGUUGACCUGCCUGAAGCCUUAGGCUAUGUUCUCCUUCUGUCUGAAAUGCUCAUUCCACUCCCACUGACCCGAAACAGCUAAUCCCUAUUCAUCCUUAUGGUCUGCCUCAAACAUUGCAUCCUAAGGAAACCUUCCCUGACCAUCUGGAUGGACUAUGCCUCCUUUUAAUAAUUCCCAUUGCACUGUGCAGUCCUCCUCCAUAGCACAUUGCACACUGGAAGUUAAUUAAUAGCCCAUUUGGUUUAAUGCCAGCCUUCCUCUCAUGGCCAAGUUCCAGAAUUCCAGGGCCCAUGCAUGUUUGACUACUGCUGAGGUCUCAGUUCCUAGCAUAGUAUCCAGCUGCUAGAAGAACAAGGCUCUCUGAACAUGCCAACCAGUGACUGCCCCCAAUGCUUUCAUCAAGCCAUUUGUGCAGAAUUGAAAACACCCUGUUUAAUCCUCCUGUAUUGUCUAUUACUAUUAUAACAAAUUACCAUAAAUUUAGUGGCUUAAAGUAACAUAAACUUAUUCUCUUACAGUCUGCAGAUUAGAAGUCCUAAAGAUUGGAUUGAGAUGGCAGAGUAGGGAAGGAGCUUGCUGCUCUUGUCUACAAGAAGAUAGUUUUUAAAAAGCAGAAAGAGUAUAGUCUCAGGGAAGAGUUAGGGAGAAAACAGCAGAGGAAACUCCAUGCAAAUUGGAGAGAUACAGUGGACCUACAUGGAGGGCACAGUCAUGCACAACUCAGGACCUCAGCAGCCGAGAGCCUCAGAACCAGUGUUGCAGAGUGAGCUGAGAUCAGACUGCCACUGGCAAAAAAGCUGCAGGAAGAACCUAGAGAGAAGAUGGCUUGGAGCCCUGAAGGGGAUAGUCUACCUGUCAAACUAGAGGACAAAAAACAAAGGGAGGCACAUUUCUCUCUCCACAAUCACCCUACAAUGGCAUCCAGCAACAACAGAUAGAGAGCAGAUACCAUUUUGGACACAUGUAACAGCUAUGCCAGCAACCAGCCAAGUGGAGACUCUUGACUCUGGUGGGGAGAACAGACAGGGGGCUGGGUGCUCAUGACUGUGGGAGGCUUGUGUGCCAGGACUGUGAAAACACUGAGGCUGUGUGGGAGUUCUCAGGGUGUGGCUGGGACUUUGGGCAGUCACUGUGGGAGGCUCAACAGAAUCAGGGCUCCCUGGUUACCUGGUGAGGAACAUUGCUGGGGAAUCUGUGCUUACACUGAUGACUGCACAGAUGAGAAUUACAAAACAUUAAAGAAAGUAAUAUAAGAAGAUACAAAAAAAUGGAAAAAUUUUCCAUGUUAAUGGAUUGGAAGAGUCAAUAUCAUCAAAAUGUCCAUUCUUCUGAAAGCAAUUUACAGAUUCAAUGUGAUACCAAUCAAAAUACCAAAGACAUUCUUCUCAGAUCUAGAAAAAAUGAUGCUGAAAUUCAUAUGGAAACACCAGAGACUUUGAAUAGCUAAAGCAAUUUUAUACAACAAAAACAAAGCCAAAGGCUUCACAAUGCCAGAUUUCAAGACAUACUACAGGGCAGUUAGAAUCAAACAGCCUGGUACUGGUAUAAAAACAGAUAAAUAGAUCAAAUGAAUGGAAUAGAAAUGCCAGAAAUCAAUCCAAGCAUCUACAACCAACUUAUAUUUGACCAAAGAGCUAAAACCAAUCCCUGGAGCAAGGACAAUCUCUUUAACAAAUGGUGCUGGGAAAACUGGAUUUCCACAUGUGGAAGUAUGAAGCAGAACUUUACCCUACACCUUAAACAAAAUCCAUUCAAAAUGGAUUCAAGACCUCAAUCUAUGAUUGGAUACCAUAAAAUUAUUAGAGGGCAUUGGGGAAAACCUGCAAGAAAAUUGCACAGGGAAGAAUCCUUGGAAAAGACCCCAAAGGCACAGGCAGUCAAAGCCAAAAUUAAUAAAUAGGAUUACAUCAAAUUGACAAGCUUCUGUACUGCAAAAGAAACACUCAGCAAAGUGAAGAGGAAACUGACAGAAUGGGUGAAAUUUGGAACUAUGCAACUGAAAAAGGAUUAAUAACCAGAAUCUAUAAAGAGAUCGAGAAACUCCACAACAACAAAACAAACAACCCAAUUAUGAAACGGGCACAGGACUUAAGCAUUUUUCAAAAGAGGAGACUGAAAUGGCCAACACACAUGAAAAAAUGUUCAAGAUCAUGAGCCAUCAAGGAAAUGCAAAUCAAAGCCACAAUGAGGUUUCACCUAACCCCAGUUAGAAUGGCUUUCCUACAGAAAUCAACAAACAAUAAAUGCUGGCGAGGAUAUGGGGGAAAAGGUACCCUAAUCCACUGUUGGUGGGAAUGUACACUGGUAAAACCACUAUGUAAGACAUUAUGGAGAUACCUCAGAAAUCUGAAUAUAGACCUACCAUAUGACCCAGCCACCCCACUCCUGGAAAUUUACCCAAGGGAAAUUAAAUCGCAAAUAAAAGAGUUAUCUACACCCCAUGUUUAUUGCAGCUCAAUUCACAAUAGCUAAGACAUGGAAUCAACCUAAAUGCCCGUCAGCUGAAGAAAUCAUAGGAUAUGUACUCUAUGAAAUACUACACAGUUUUUUAAAAAAUGAAAUCCAGUUAUUUGCAUCAAAGUGGAUGAAUCUGGAAAACAUCAGUUAGUGAAAUAAGCCAGUCCCAAAGGAACAAAUACUAUAUGUUCUCCCUGAUCUGUGAGAACUAAUAGAGUCCCUAAAAGGAAAUUUGUAGAAGUGAAGUUGACACUUUGAGAAGCAAUGAGCUGAACAACCCUUGUCUUGACUGUCCAAUUUCUGCCACUGUCACAGCUUCUCUGAAUCUUAUCAACCUGUCUGCCUCAUAUAAGAGUGUCUGUGAUUAUAUUAGGCCCAUUUAGAUAAUCUAAGAUAAUCUACUUAUGUUUAAUAUUCUUAAUCAUAAUGACAAAAAUAUUUUUUAAGAAAAGAAACUGUGGUUGAAUGUUUUUAGGUACAUUUAUGAAUUGUAGGCCAAAGUUCAGAAAGGACACAACUCCAUCUUUGGCAAAAAGGGCUUCAUAAUAGAAAUAAUUUGCCUUUUAAAUAUUUGAUUUAGUGCACAUGCAUACUCUUAAGACUGAGAUAUCCUGAUCCUCAAAGUGCUUUCAAUGGGGGUGGGUGUACAAGUCCUGGCUACUCUGUGCUUUUUUUUUUUUUUUUUUUUGACAGACGGAGUGGACAGUGAGAGAGAGAGACAGAGAGAAAGGUCUUCCUUUGCUGUUGGUUCACCCGCCAAUGGCCACUGCAGCUGGCGCACCACACUGAUCCGAAGCCAGGAGCCAGGUGCCUCCCCCGGUCUCCCAUGCGGGUGCAGGGCCCAAGCACCUGGGCCAUCCUCCACUGCACUCCUGGGCCACAACAGAGAGCUGGACUGGAAGAGAGGCAACCGGGACAGAAUCCGGCACCCUGACCGGGACUAGAACCCGGGGUGCUGGCGCUGCUAGGUGGAGGAUUAGCCGAGUGAGCCUCGGUGCCAGCCUACUCUGUGUUUCUGAUUUAGCUUCCUGCCAAUCUGCCUGGGAGGCAGCAGAUGACGGCUCAAGUACUUGGAACCCUGCCACCCAUGUGGAAGACUUGGAUGGAGUUUCUGGUUCCUGGCUUCAGCCUUGUCCAGCCCAGCUGUUGUGGGGAUUUGGGGAGUGAACCAACAGAUGGAAGAUCUCUCUCUCUCCCUCUCUCUCUCUCCUCUUUCUCUGCCUCCUCUCUCUUUCCUCCUCUCUCCCUCCCCCCAUCUCUGUCACUCUGCCUUUCAAAUAAAUAAAUAAAUCGUAAAAAAAAGUGCUACCAAUGGAUCACUACAUACAUGCAUUUCAGGGCUCAGGUGGGUAGAAGCAUUCAGCCCUGUAGACCUUGUCUUGCAUAUUACAACUGCCAUUACACACUCUUCUCACUGUUAUGGAAAUCAAAUAGAAGACAUCACUUCUGGCAGCACUGAAUGUACCAACUCUGAUGGAAUUAUUCCCAAUGGGCAAAAUCUAGAUAUUUAUGGAAGCAAAGACAAAUGUGUCUUUCUUUCAUUUAUUCUUCUUGAAGUACCUAGCUUUCAAUUCUUUAAGCCUUGCUCCCAUUUAGAUGUUAUGACAUUAUGAGUAUUCUGUUUUUAUCCCAAAUCAUGAUUACCUGUGAAAAACUUCCAGGGGCGAGAUGGAAGUGAAAACAUUUUUCUAUGCUCUUCUUACUUUUAUUGAUUAAAAUGCAAAUAUCACUUCCAAGGAAAGCUCUAUGCAGACUGUUGCAAAUCCUCUAACCAUGAGAGAUGGCCACAUCUACAGUAUAAUCUAGUCAUGACCUUUCAGAGCUUGGAGGCAAUAGGAAUCAGCUGGUCCACUGCAUUUUGUAGAUGAGAAAGCAAAAACCUUGACAAUGGAGUAAAUCAUCCAAAGACAUACAGGUCAGGGCUGUUGACAGCUUCAUAAGAUCAUAAAAAGUAUCAAGCAAGAGUCUACAUAUCCAGCAGGUAACAGUCAUAGCUACAGCUUCCAUAUUAGAAAUGUACUGUUGGGGAGGGCAUUUGGCAUUGUGAUUAAGAUGCUGCUUGGAACCCUCGCAUUCCAAAUCAGAGUACCUGAGUUUGAGUCCUGGCUCCAUUGCCAAUCUAGCUUCCUGCGGGUGUGCAUCUCACGAGGCUGCAUGACGGCUCGAGUACUUGGGUCCCUGCUACCCAUGCAGGAGACCCAGAUUGAGUUUUGGGCUCCUAGGUUUAGAGUGGCCCAGCCCUGGUUGUUGUGGCCAUUGUUGUGGGUAUUGUGGGGAGCAACCCAGACUGGACUGAGUUACUGGAAUUAAGACUUAUUCUAUGCAUCUGCUCUCCCACAAUAUGGCGCUGGGAGAGAAGAAAACAGCUUCCACACAGCUGCCUCCAGUUCAGCCAAUAAACUGUAGGACUUGCUCCUGAUUGGAGGAGAGCAGCGUACUCGGCGUGUGGGCAGCCGAGUUAGGAUUGGCGGAGGAGGACUAUAAAGGAGGAGAGAGACGGCAUGCACCGGGAACAUGUAAGGGGAACAUCUAAGGGAACACCUGUGCAGCCCCCGAGAGAGCCGGCCGGCGGUGUGCUGCUCCCCUGUGGAAGUGGGGAAUGUGGCCAGGGGGAACUGCCCUUCCACGGAGGUGGAAGGGAUAGUAGCCAACCCGGGAAGAACCAGCAGCAAACCCGGGGAGGGCCGAGCAGACGAAAGAACAGCGCAGGGUCCUGUGUCGUUCCUCCACGAAGAGGGGGAGCAACAGGUAUUUAGAGAGUAAGCCAGUGGAUGGAAGAUUUCUCUCUUUUUCCUCAUCUCUCUGCCUUUCAUAUAAAAAGAAACAGUUAAUUAAUUUUAAAAAGAAACAUACUCUUCAAUGUUUUCAGGUUUUGUAAUAAUUCAACCUGAGAGGUCAAAUUUUACUUGAAAGCCUCUAGGAAAUAAAAGCUUACUAAGCAAAUAGUAGUGGAAAAAAGAUUAUAGAAUAUACAGUUUAUUUCUUUUUUUAAAAUAUUUUAUUUAUUUGAGAGAGAGAGCUACAGAGAAAGGGAGAGACAGAAAGAAAGGUUUUCCAUCUGCUGGUUCACUCCCCAUAUGGCCACAGUGGCUGGAG